UGAGAUACUGUUUGCAGAAGGAUUAACACACUAACUUAGAACUAUCUUGUAACUUAGAUUACAUUGAUACGCUGAGAUGCUUCAUGACUAAUUGGAGUUCUUCUCGGGUACAUCCCCGGAGUGGCUGAAUUCAGCUUUUAGACUAACUUCUUUCAAAAAGGGAGUGAUAGUUAGGACGACAAUACUUAAAUAAGUGUAAAUUAUCAAGUAUAUUAAAACUAAUGCUUACGCAAAGUGCUCAACACUCUUUCUUUGACACGACUGUAGCGUGGCUUGACCUAUUAGCAGUGUUACUUAAUCGAGUUGUACAGAAUUCUGUUUAAAAACUAGUUAGUUUCGAAGGACCAUUGACAAUAAUUACUUUUACUGAUAAUACCUGAUAAGUAACUACUGAUUUGAAGACACUUGACUCAGAAGGAACAUUAACCGAGAUCGGCCACCAAGAAGACGCUGAACACAGCACCCCUGGCGGCCUUACACAUACUAUAAAUCAAAAAUAGUGGGCUUGCGAACUAGUCGGCCCGACCUAGUUAAUUGUCCGUCAGCUGGCGGGUCGUGAUCAGCAACACUAACAGAAUUUCCACUAGAUGGCGGUGACUGUGAAAAAAACUGGAAUAAUUCGUCUGCUUGAGAAUAGAGAAAUAGUUAAUCUGCUUUAGAAGUCGCGUUGACGUAAGCACGUCUUGCGUUUAUUGACUAAUGUUUCAAAAUGUUGGUAGUGAAACAAAACUUUGUUUUGGCUUGAUGAGAAACCAAGAUCCUUUUCUCAAAUGGAAAAAGACUCUACUGGACAGAUGUAAUCUGCAUGAAAGAGAUUGCACUUGUAAAAUUUUCUGAACCUUAUCCUUGAAAAAACUCUUCAUUAGGCUCUAGUAGUUAUAUCAUAGUUGUCUUGUGGCUACCAAUAGCGGCCAUGCCAUGUUUGACAGCAUCUAGUUGUAUUUGUAGUCUGUGAAAAGAAAAUUAAUACAGGCAUUAUGAAACAACAAA